rnacentral:lncRNA from 1 species
GCCCACUUAACCUCUCGAUGCCUCAUUAUUUCCCUCUAGAAAAUACUUUCACUAUUUGUCCUUGAAUUAAGCAGUGAAGAAGACAACUUUCAACAUUUAAAGUGAGAACUCUGACACAUCCAGAUUUUGUAAGCUGCAUAGAAUGAAUUUCACAGGAUGCAUCCAAUUCAUGGACUCUUACAAGAUUUUAUCAAUACCUACAGCUCUGACCUCUGGGUUGAAAAUUUUGAAGAAGCAGUUACUGGGUCCAGAGAUUCUCUUGUUCACAUCUGACUCUCCUCUAAAGUAUGGAUUAAGAUCCACAUUAUCCCUUUGCCUGACUGAUUCUGUCGACUAUGAGACAAGAUGCCAUGACAGGAAGUACUCGGGCUUGAAGUUAACUGCACUACAGGUUAAAUCCUGAAAUCCUGACUCAGUAGCAUUUUGUCUUUGCCUCCUUUGCCAAGUUUUCUAGAUUCAUAAAAAUGUCACUUCCCCCAUCUCCCAAAGGCAUGGAAAAACUGAAAUUACA